GUUUUUUGUAUGUUUUUGUCUUUGUGACCAAUUAUCUGCAGGAAGAUUUUCUUUCAUGGGGCAUGCAGAUGGGAGGAAUUAUGUCCUAGGAUGUUAGCUCUGGCACCAUCUCUAAUGGCCCGACUGAGUGUUUCUGGGGUAACUUCAAUGUUUCAUUCUCUCAACUGAGAGGACCAACAUAGCCACCUGUUUUGUAAGAAAAUGAAAACUUUGCUCUUAGUGAUGGAAAACUCUUCCUUUUUCCAUGGGACCUGGUACACCAGUACUGGAGGGAUUUGCAUGUUUAAAGGAGUGCGCAGAACAGCAGCCCACAUAAUGAAUUCUGCGGGGUCUUGGCGGAGGAAUUGGUAUUCAUCUUUGGCGCUCCUGUCUGCGGCAGGGUCUGUGUUCUUCGCGUGCGCUGAUUGGGCACCAAUGCCGCAGCGACCAAUCAUAUGGCGUCGGAGGGAGGACUCCAUCUCAGCAGGACUUGGACUUGGGAGAAGGGAUGAGUUGAGUGGCUACCGGGUCCACAGAUUGGUUUGCAGGGUGUGUGUGCGGCAAGAGUCGAGGCGUGGGUGGUGGGGUUGAUUCCUUUCCCCGGACAAUCUCUUGAUUAGGAAGCAUCUCCUUCUUGGGGGUUUGAAGAGCCAGAGGCAUCCCUUUCUCCAUUUUCUGCUCGCAGUUGCAUCAGUUAAGGUCAGUUCAGUCGCUCAGUCGCGUCCGACUCUUUGCGACCCCAUGAAUUGCAGCACGCCAGACCUCCCUGUCCAUCACCAACUCCUGGAGUUCACCUAAACUCAUGUCCAUCGAGUCGGUGAUGCUAUCCAGCCAUCUCAUCCUCUGUCGUCCCCUUCUCCUCCUGCCCC
rnacentral:lncRNA from 1 species